UUACGGCCAUAACAGGAUGAAACACCGGAUCUCGUAUGAUCACUGAAGUUAAGCACCGUCGAAUCUGGUCAGUACCUAGAUGAGUGACCGCAUGGAAAUAUCAGGUGCUGUAAG